AAGUCGUAACAAGGUUUCCGUAGGUGAACCUGCGGAAGGAUCAUUAACAAAUCUAACAACAACCAUGUGCAAACGUUUGUUCCCUUGGGAUGCGAGAGAGAGGGGCAUGCAUGAUGUACACACACCUUAGGGUCUGCAGCACAUCAUCAUCAUCUUUCCUUGCUACACACCCAAGGGAAUAUCCACUUAUCAUUGACUAUUGAUUGACAAGCCUUAAGAUGAUAUCAUAACGUUAAACAACUUUUAACAAUGGAUCUCUUGGCUCUU
rnacentral:misc_RNA from 1 species